rnacentral:rRNA from 1 species
UACGGGGGGGGGCAAGCGUUGUUCGGAAUUACUGGGCGUAAAGCGCGUGUAGGCGGCCCCUGCAAGUCGGAUGUGAAAUCCCACGGCUCAACCGUGGAAGUGCAUUCGAAACUGCAGGGCUAGAGUCUUGGAGAGGAAGGUGGAAUGCUUGGUGUAGAGGUGAAAAUUCGUAGAUAUCAAGCGGAACACCGGUGGCGAAGGCGGGGUCUCUGGGCCGGAUACUGACGCUGGAGGAGCGAAAGCCAGGGGAGCAAACGGG